GAUGGUGGCAACUCACUGAUCUUUCUCUCCCGCCUUCCCCUGCAGAACCUGAACGUGUCCUUCCAGGGCUGCGGAAUGGACUCGCUGAGCGUGCGGGCCAUGGACACUGACACGCUGACGCAGGUCAAGGAGAAGAUCCUGGAGGCCUUCUGCAAGAACGUGCCCUACUCCCAAUGGCCACGUGUGGAGGAUGUCGACCUCGGUGGGUGGGGAUGGGGUGGAGCCCCAUCAGGCUGCUUCAGCUGGGGCUGGCCCCUGCCUUGACGGAAACACUCCUUCUACCUGGCAUGGUGCAUGAACGUGGUGACACGGAGAGGAUCUGAUGAGGCCCCUCGGCCAGAAGCUCUUGCUCUGUGGGAGACAAGUCCUGCAGUGUGGGCGAGUGAAGGGCAGCAGCAAAAAGCCUUCAGGAACGGCUUCCUCAUUCCUAAAGGAGGGGUGCAACCCCUAAAGUGGGUUGGUUUGUCUUUGAGACAGGGUCUCACUCUGUCACCCAGGGUGGAGUGCAACCACUCAGUCUCAGCUCCUGGGCUCAAGUGAUCCUCUCAUUUCAGCCUCUUGAGUAGCUGGGACUACAGGUGUGUGCCACCACACCCAGCUAAUGUUACUUUCUGUAAAGAUAGUGUCAUGCUAUGCUGCCCAGGCUGGUCUUGAACUCCUGGGCUCAAGUGAUCCUCCUCCCUCAGCCUCUCAAAGUGCUGGGAUUACAGGGGUGAGCUACGACACCCGGCACGGAGUGGGUUUUGUGAGUCUUUGUGAGGCCAAGGGUUUCAUCGAAAUUGUAACAUGAGCAGCCCUGCAGACAAGGCCACUUCCAGAGCUUCUCCUCGGUGUCCUCCAUCCUGGCACCUUCACUUUGUACCCUCACACCCUCUCCCCCAGCUCAUUUCCUGCCCUCCCCAUUUUACAGAUGGGAAAAUGGAGGCUGAGAGAGAGGCAUGGCUUGCCUCGGUUUCCAUGGGGAUAGCGAGAGGCCUCUCCCUGUGUGGCUGGGCCGGUACCUACCCCUCAGGCUCAGCUCCCUGCCCAGGCCCUGAUGGUCUACUCCUUGUCCCCCAGAGUGGUUCGCCUCCAGUACACAGAGCUACAUCCUUCGGGACCUGGAUGACACCUCAGUGGUGGAAGACGGCCGCAAGAAGCUUAACACGCUGGCCCAUUACAAGAUCCCUGAAGGUGCCUCCCUGGCCAUGAGCCUUAUAGACAAGAAGGACAACACACUGGGCCGAGUGAAAGACUUGGACACAGAGAAAUAUUUCCAUUUGGUGAGUGCCCAAGCUCAGCCCCAGGGGAUCCGGCCCCUCAGUGGGUGUGGCCUUGGCUUUCUGUGGCCCUGGGCCUCUGGGAAAAGUGCUCCAAGCCCCGGGAAAAGUGCUACAAGCCCCGGGAAAGGCUGGGGGUGGAGGAGUGGGGAUGGGGCCCCGAAUCAGGAGGGAACCACAGCCCUGUGCGCUAAGAAGCAUGGCAGAGCCAGACCUCCCACAGGCGGCCAAGGAUGGGGCCUGGUGCGGAUGCUGACCACUGCCUGGCCUCCCAGGUGCCGCCCACGGACGAAC
rnacentral:lncRNA from 13 species